rnacentral:rRNA from 1 species
GACGAACGCUGGCGGCGUGCAUAACACAUGCAAGUCGAACGGUAAGGCCCUUCGGGGUACACGAGUGGUGAACGGGUGAGUAACACGUGGGUGAUCUGCCCUGCACUUCGGGAUAAGCCUGGGAAACUGGGUCUAAUACCGGAUAGGACCCUGGGAUGCAUGUCCUGGGGUGGAAAGCUUUUGCGGUGUGGGAUGGGCCCGCGGCCUAGCAGCUUGUUGGUGGGGUGAUGGCCUACCAAGGCGACGACGGGGAGCCGGCCUGAGAGGGUGACCGGCCACACUGGGACUGAGAUACGGCCCCGACUCCUACGGGAGGCAGCAGUGGGGAAUAUUGCACAAUGGGCGCAAGCCUGAUGCAGCGACGCCGCGUGAGGGAUGACGGCCUUCGGGUUGUAAACCUCUUUCAGCACCGACGAAGCGCAAGUGACGGUAGGUGCAGAAGAAGGACCGGCCAACUACGUGCCAGCAGCCGCUGUAA